rnacentral:lncRNA from 1 species
GUAGUAUGUCGAGCGCGUCAAUAUUUGGCCGGGCCUGCAAUGCUGAAAGCUCCGUUGCUGCAGAUAAUUGUGCUCUGCUGACAAGGCGUGGGCAUGGGCCCCUUAAGAUAUGGUUACAUGUAGUAGUAAACAUUUUACAUAGGUGACGUAUGGUCAAGCUUACAUCAGCAAGAGCUUGGCAGUUUGCAUUGCCUACAUCAGCAUGACUAGUAGUAUAUCAUUCACAGCGGGCGAGAUCGUCGGUGAAAGCCGCGUGCGACAGGCCGUUUUGCAACCCCGUCAGUGAGUGGCUGCUGCAAGUUAAAAUUAAAACGAUCGAAUCCAGCAGCUAGCAGCGCGUCACUUGUUGUCGUGGAGGGGCUUGGUUAUGGCGGGCUUGAUCAUGGUGGACACGGGCGGCCUGGCCGCGAAGGAGAAAGCCACCUGGAAGGCGUCGCGGGAGGCCGAACGGAGCACCUCCAGGACCACACGCCUCGCCGCCGCCGGCAUCUCGUCGAGCUUCUCUCCUCUCGCCUGUGGGAAAGCCGGCCGGAAGAUGGAUGGCUGACGGUCCAGCACCGAGGGAGCACGCACGGCUUAUAAAGGAACGGGGAUCAGGGGCCUAAAAUUGGGUGAUCAACUGGCGACGGUUAUGCAUGGAUCAUCCAGACGAAGCCACGAAGGCUGCUGAAUAGAAUUGGUAGCGAUCUAAUUCUAGGCUGGUGCAGAAUGACAGAAGGCUGCUACCGUUGCUUUUUCAUGGGCCAGAGCCCGUUAUUCUGGUGGUUGGACAAGAGGAGGAGGCCCAGUUUGUCGCCAUAUCAUGUGAUCGGGCUUUAGAGCGACGACGGCUCCCG